UAAUUAGGCCUAAUUCAUUGCCCUGCAGUUGAUUUUACCUGCGUGUUGGCCUCUAUGCGCAUUUGCGCAGAAGCAUCAAUUUGGCGAUGUCUUCCGAACAGAAGACAAACAUUGUUGUGUUUUUAUGUAUAAUAACUGUAGCUUUUUCUAACUUGAACUUCUGUGGUGCGUUGAGUGUAGAAAAGUUUGUUCUCAAUGGUUUUAAUGCGGAUCAUGAAAAGGCGUCAAAUGCUGACAGAGAGCCGAGGAUCAAAACAAAACAGCUGGCCGUUCUUCGGCGCAAUCUUCGACCUACUGUUAAUAAUUCCAGCAUUCAAGAACAGAGUGCAGAGUCCAUUGACGUUCCUGAGAACUCUAUAAAUAAUUCGAGUCAACCCAACAUUGAUCUAAAGUCAACUGAUUUGCGGGCGCCUUUGAAUGUGCGUAAUGGUUUCAAUGUCCAGAAAAGAUCUCUGGAUUACAAUGCUGGACAUCAGGCAGUCUUCAAAGGUUUUGAAGGCCACGGUUUUCAAGGGAAGGUCUAUGGUCCAUCAGCUAACCACAACCCUCACUCCAGUGAAUGGCUGUCGAUGAGGCCUCUGGUCCAGUGUAAUGACAACCUCAUGAUGCUCACUGCAUCUGGACGAGGAUACACACAUCUACUGGUGGAUAGAGCGGGCACCUCUCCCAUCUCCCUGUUCCAGCUGCCGCCGUCCUGUGGCUACCAUGUGAAGACUACCUGGAGAGAGAUGGUGAUGAUGGCACCAUACGAUGGCUGCUACAUCAUGCAGGAGCAUGGUAGUUAUGUCCUGCCCAUGCUGUGGUGGGGCAGCCCUGUGAAGAUCAUUUGCCCAGUCCCCCACCCUGACCCCCGACCCCACCCUGUCCCCCCAGUACUCUGCUCCCACUUUGGCAUGGCCAUCCAGAUACAUGGAGAGGAGGAGGUCAUACACACACUACAGGUCAUAGAGAAUGGCGAGUGGGUGCCGUUUGUGUCUGAAGAGUGUGCCUACCAAGUGGAGUCUCACUCAGAAGACCUCAUAUUUUAUGUUCCCUUUACAGCCCCAUGUGUGACCAUCGGAAAUGGAGUUCAUCGACUGGUCCUAUUGGACGGCCAGGACUUCAUCCUCUCCUGCCCCUCACACCACCCUCCUCCAUUUCCCUUUUUUCCCUCCCCUCCAUUUUCUCAACCCUUCUCUCCUGGUGACCCACAGCAGCAGAUACCUGACCCUGGAACUUUUGCUCCCUCCACCAGCCCUCCCCUUACCUCUCCUCCCAUCACCCCUUAUACUCAACCCCCAGCCCAGGAACAGAUGCCCCAACUUCCUGCGUUCCCCCACCACCUCCCUCAUGGCAUGUAUCCCCAAAUUCCCUAUUUCCCUUAUGGUGGAGCUGGUUAUCACCCUCUCCUCCACCCUGGUCACGAACCAUAUCCUGGCUCCCAUCAUCUUCUCCCAGGGAGAUAUCCAGGCCAGCAGCCCUUCUUCCCCAUGGGGCCUGGGAAUCACCCCUACGGCUCUGGAGACCACAGUGACUCCUUUUACCUCUCCCCGCCCCCUACCCACGAUCCCAUGCUCGACUAUUAUAAUGAAAUUGCCCCUGGUGUCCACCGUCCUUCUGUUUAUCCUACUCCUCUUAUAGCUAUCCGACCACCGCAACCCGCCGCUUAUACCAAACCUCCUCCCGCCGCUUAUACCAAACCUCCUCCCGCCGCUUAUACCAAACCUCCUCCCGCCGCUUAUACCAAACCUCCUCCCGCCGCUUAUACCAAACCUCCUCCCGCCGCUUAUACCAAACAUUCUCUUCCAUAUUAUACCGAACAACCUCCACCUCUCGAUACUGAACCUGUUCUUCCUAUAACACCUACUGCCUUUGAACGUCGUUCUUACCCCAUUGUUACCGGAUCUCCUCCUCCCCCUUCUGGAUCCAAACCUUCAUCACCUGUUUUCCAACCUCCAAAAAUACCUGCAGAUCCAAAUGACCCAUAUGGGGUCCACAUGACCAAUCAGGCCCUGAUUACUGAAGAGCCCAUGUCUGCUACUGGGAGCCCCAAUCCUGAUCCCUAUUCCCAACCUCCUAAAUGGCCUGUGGGUCCAUACUAUUACCCAUAUGGUCCUUACUACCCUCCAUCUGGUCCUCACCAUUAUCCCUUCAUACCAAUCUACUACCCCUCACCUACCCAAGAGCCUAGCCCAGUCACAGCUAGUCCUCCCCAGACUCUCCCUACAGGUCCUCAGGACCCUACAAUGCCCACAGUCUACCCACUGAACCACUACCCUCAGCCAGUCACCUGCUCUCCCUCUGCCCAUACCAUCUGUAGCGAUUACCCAUAUGCCGUGGAUGUGCCACACUACCAGCCACACCACCCAUAUCCUCUCUACCUGAUGCCCAGCCCCCCUCUGACCACCCCAGCCCUUCCCUCCACAGGCACAGCUCUGCCUGGUGCUACUCAACCACCCCAGACCUCACCAACCACCACCUCACCCUCCUCCAGGACCAUAUCUUCCACUACUACUCUCACUCCUUGGAUGUCCAUCCUCACCCCUACUCUCCCCCUCAGCCCUCCCUCUCUCCUGGGCUCUCCCCUCGGCCCUCACUCCACUGUCUAGCAGGACAGAUGAUGGUGUCGCUGCCCUCUGCUCUCCUGGACUCCAUCCAGGUCAAAGAUCAGAUGAAUGGCUGGGUGUCCAUCUCCAGUGCCCCCGCGGCUUGUAGAUACAUCCUGCAGAUGAGUAAGGGUGGUGGAGUGAUCCUCCAUUCCCCUCUCCCUGCCUGCCACAGCCAGGCUAUG